rnacentral:rRNA from 1 species
GAUGAACGCUGGCGGCGUGCCUAAUACAUGCAAGUCGAGCGAACAGACGAGGAGCUUGCUCCUCUGACGUUAGCGGCGGACGGGUGAGUAACACGUGGAUAACCUACCUAUAAGACUGGGAUAACUUCGGGAAACCGGAGCUAAUACCGGAUAAUAUAUUGAACCGCAUGGUUCAAUAGUGAAAGACGGUUUUGCUGUUACUUAAAGAUGGAUCCGCGCCGCAUUGGUUAGUUGGUAAGGUAACGGCUUACCAAGGCAACGAUGCGUAGCCGACCUGAGAGGGUGAUCGGCCACACUGGAACUGAGACACGGUCAAGACUCCUACGGGAGGCAGCAGUAGGGAAUCUUCCGCAAUGGGCGAAAGCUUGACGGAGCAACGCCGCGUGAGUGAUGAAGGUCUUCGGAUCUUAAAACUCUGUUAUUAGGGAAGAACAAAUGUGUAAGUAACUAUGCACGUCUUGACGGUACCUAAUCAGAAAGCCACGGCUAACUACGUG